GUUGCUAUACAUAUACAGCAAGAUGUUAAAAACAUUUCAGUGUUUUUUGAGGUUUCGCUGUCAUUUAAUGAAGAUAUGAUAAACCAAGAAGAUGUCUACAAUUCAGAAGAAGAUACGCAAAGAAAUAGAAAAAAAUGGAAUAGUAUUUCUCGAAAGUUAAAAAUUCAAAGAACAGAAGAAUUCUGAAAAAAUGUAACAAACUUGCUAAAAUCGAAAAUAUUGAUCUGAAAGAGGUUUA